rnacentral:lncRNA from 1 species
GGGGCGGGGCGGCGCCGGCCUGAAGCGGGAGCAUGGCGCGGGCGCGGCGGCGCGGGCGGUGAGGAGGGAGCGCCAUGGGCGACAGGUGGCUCCGGGUGACCGUGCUGCCCGGCUGCGUGGGCUGCAGGACGGUGGCGGUCCCCGCGUCCUGGACGGUGCGCGACGUGAAGCGGCGCCUCGCGGCCGAGACGGCUUCCCCACGGCGGAGCAGCGGCUGUGGCUGGCGGCGGCCGCAGGUAGGGCGGCCCGGGCCCGCGGCGGGAG